UACGUAGGGUGCAAGCGUUAAUCGGAAUUACUGGGCGUAAAGCGUGCGGAGGCGGUUUUGUAAGUUUGUCGUGAAAGCCCCGGGCUCAACCUGGGAAUGGCGAUGGAGACUGCAAGGCUUGAAUCUGGCAGAGGGGGGUAGAAUUCCACGUGUAGCAGUGAAAUGCGUAGAGAUGUGGAGGAACACCGAUGACGAAGGCAGCCCCCUGGGUCAAGAUUGACGCUCAUGCACGAAAGCGUGGGGAGCAAACAGG
rnacentral:rRNA from 1 species